rnacentral:lncRNA from 7 species
AAGAUGAAGAGGGGGUAGACGUAGACCUUGGGGCAAGCUCGAACGAAGGUGGCUCGGUGGGGCUCUGGGCGCGAGAGUUCGACGACAUGCGACGAAUGAUGGCGUGCGCGGCGGGGACUCCUCCGCACGGCGCAGCAACGCGCUUAGCGCAUGCCGGACGGGGUGGCUCCGAGUGCUGGCUGCGCGGGCGUCGAAGGCAGGGGGCGCAAGUGUGGUGGUUGUUUUGGAGAGAGGAGGGAGAGUGGGGGAGGGCGUCGAGGUGCUUGAAUGGGUUGCACACGAACGGUACUUGAGGCUAGC